rnacentral:rRNA from 1 species
AAGUAAAAGUCGUAACAAGGUUUCCGUAGGUGAACCUGCGGAAGGAUCAUUAACGAGUUUUGAAAUGGGUUGUAGCUGGCCUUACGAAGGCAUGUGCACACCCUGCUCAUCCACUCUCAUACCCCUGUGCACCUAUUGUAGGCUUGGUGGGAAGACUGGUGUCACAACCAGUCGGAAAGCCUUGCCUAUGUUUCAACACAAACGCUUCAGUUUUAGAAUGUCACAUUUGCGUCUAACGCAUGAAAUACAACUUUCAGCAACGGAUCUCUUGGCUCUCGCAUCGAUGAAGAACGCAGCGAAAUGCGAUAAGUAAUGUGAAUUGCAGAAUUCAGUGAAUCAUCGAAUCUUUGAACGCACCUUGCACUCCUUGGUAUUCCGAGGAGUAUGCCUGUUUGAGUGUCAUGGUAUUCUCAACCUCUAAAGCUUUUGCGAUAGAGGCUUGGAUGUGGAGGUCGUGUUGGCGCAAGUCAACUCCUCUGAAAUGCAUUAGUGUGAAUCUUACGGAUCGCCUCCAGUGUGAUAAGUAUCUACGCUGUGGUGUUGAAGUAUAUAGGCAUUCAUGCUUCUAAUCGUCUCUUCAUUGAGACAAUUACUUGACAAUCUGACCUCAAAUCAGGUAGGACUACCCGCUGAACUUAAGCAUAUCAAUUAAGCG